GAUGAACGCUGGCGGCGUGCCUAAUACAUGCAAGUCGAGCGAACGGACGAGAAGCUUGCUUCUCUGAUGUUAGCGGCGGACGGGUGAGUAACACGUGGAUAACCUACCUAUAAGACUGGGAUAACUUCGGGAAACCGGAGCUAAUACCGGAUAAUAUUUUGAACCGCAUGGUUCAAAAGUGAAAGACGGUCUUGCUGUCACUUAUAGAUGGAUCCGCGCUGCAUUAGCUAGUUGGUAAGGUAACGGCUUACCAAGGGAACGAUGCAUAGCCGACCUGUGAGGCGGGUCGGCCGCCCGGGAGCGGGGACGCGGUCAAGGGGCCUACGGGAGGCAGCAGUCGGGAAUCGGCCGCAGUGGGCGGGAGCCUGGCGGAACAACGCCGCGUGUGUGGUGGAGGUCUUCGGAUCGUAAAACUGUGUUAUUGGGGAUGAACAGAUGUGUAAGUAACUGUGGACAUCUUGACGGUACCUAGUCAAGAAGCCCCGGCUAACUACGUG
rnacentral:rRNA from 1 species